AGGAAAGGAGGACGUGUUGGGUUUAAACACCACCCCUGUGAUCAAAUGAAAUUGACAGAUAUUAGCCAAGUGUUCAGGAGUAUACAGGAAAAUAAAAGGCAGCUCAGGAAUCAGGAAAGACAAGAAUGGGGACCAGCUCCCCAGUACUCCCUAUGAGGCGAAGAAGGUCUUUGUUCUCUCUUGGAGGUGGUACUGGAGGACACCACAGCCCAGGUUAAGACAUAGGUUUGGUGAUGUGGGGAGAAAGAGGACUUUGAGAAAUGUAAUAACAAGUAGAUUGGGUUGUUAUUGAGAGGUGAUCUAUGGGAAUGCUGCUGAGGUUGGUGGUGUAUGGUGAGUGCAGCUCUUGGGCAAGAGGCAGCCUCCUUUUGCAGUGCUUCCUCCUCAAGUAGGAAGCCAAAAAGUGCAGUAAACAAUGGGAAAUCUUUCGAAGAAGUCAAGCUACGUUAAGAAAAAACCCAUAAUGCCGUGAAAAUUACCAGUAUUUAGUCCAGGCUGUUUAGGCAGAAAAACGGUCAUAGGAGUUGUGGAAAACUGAGCCAAAUAAACAGAUGGGAUCUUCUAGUCCAGCUGGAAGAACUACUCUUCUGUGCCAGGUUCAAAUAGAGGAUUUCAGAGCUAGAAAAAAAUCUACAGAGAAAUUCCUCAAGAAGGGAGAGUCUGCAGUUAAGUUAGGAAUUAACUAGCCAAACACUGAUUUCAGGGUAUUUUGUUAUCCUUAUUGGCUAUGAGGCAUUCAAAUAUAAAAAGUUAAGGAGCAGUGGCUGAACAUCUGCUCAGGGGGAAUGAACUCAAAAGGACAGUAAUUGUAGUGGGAGAUAAGGCCACACCAGUCUCAAGAAUGAAAGCACUUCUCAUCACUUUCUUAGCUUUCAGUUAUAUGACUGCCUGAAAAAUAACUUGUUAGUCAGAAGACUUGCUUCUUGCCAGAUAUAAGCACUAUCCAAGUAGAGAAGUGCUGUGAAGAAGAGUUAUACAACAGAGGAAGAAGUACUGAGCUUAUAAGGUAAAUGAAAAGAUGAAAAAAUAAAGUGAACAAUCAAAAAUCUGCUGCACUUGGGAGUGAGUAGCAAAAUCCAUAUGUGCCUGUUUGCUGACACAGGAUUAGGAAGAAGGCUGCAAUUCUGUAUGCUUGGUCGGCACAAAAUGUGCUCGGAAGGGAAGCUUAGGAAAAAUCCUUUUCAGAUAUUUUCAGGGAGAAUGAGGAUUACGCCUUAUCCUGACUGCCCUCUAUAUGUACCCAGGGGAUAUUGGUCACAUGGGAAUAUUUCUGUUCCAUGCCUCAGAAGAGCCAUGACGGUUGGACAUGCAUAGUCCUGAUUAAAAUUCUAUCACCAUAAUAACUUUUAAUAUUCUAUUUAAAUUUGUGGCAGCUCUGGAAGUGUCUAUCAGAAAAAGACCAUCUGUGGGAAAGAAGAAAAAAGCAAAUUGCAGCGCAGAAACUGAGAGCUGUGAUGAGAUUGUCCUGCCAUUUCAAACUGAGGUAAGGAGAGCUUAAACUGAAAAUGGUGAGAGUCUGAGGGUGUGUGACUUACUAAUACUGGUUGGAGUAUCUGGCUGGGAAGGGUGGGUCUUAUUUUUCUUUUCUUACUUAAGAAAGUUUCUGUAUAUUUCCCCUGUGGCUGAGGGCAUGUUCUUCUAUACAAGGACCCACACAUAGGAGCAGGACUCUUAACUCAAUAGGUUAUUGAUUCAUGCUCUCAUUCUUAGCUGGUCAGAUAAAUCUUUCCUGGAGAGCCCUGCAGGGUGCUUAGAAGAUUCUCCAGAGAAGUAUUUGGGUUUUGAAUCCCCAAAGCAGAUGAGACUGUUCAGUGUGCUUUCUGUGGCUCCUAGGUGAAUAAGAGCUAUCACUGUUGGGUCUUCUGAAAACAAAUGGAAGCUUCACUGUUGUCUCUGUGAAGAUUAACCUGCUAGGAGUACUUUGAGACUAGUGGAUUUAACCUUUAAAGGGAGAGGAAUACUUGAUUUACACAGACUGCGAAUUUAAGCAUGAGAAUGGUGGUGGGCACCAUUGCAAAUGUAUGUUUGAGUACUUUAUACAUCACUUAGCAUACUUCAAGUAUAUAUGCAUUAAUAUGUAAGUAAUCUGUGGAGUCUGGGUAUCUCCUGGAGACAGGUGAACUCCCCCAAAAAAUAGAAAAUGAAGCUUUCUAAGGGCCAUCUCUCUCAUCUGCAUUAUUAGUAUACUGAGAAUGGUCUUCAAGAAAAAUUGAAAUAAUGUUUAAAGUUAGAAAGGCAUAUUUAUGAAAGGUAGAUUGCUAACUUGCAACUAACCUUUGAGGUCAACUGGAAAUGAAAAUGUUUCAGAGAACAAAUACUGCUAAGCUGCUGCCCUUUUAGCUUCUAUUUCUAAAUAAAGGCUCAAAGAGGUCCCCUUCUGAAAGACUGAAGGUCUUAAAGACCUUCUGAGUGGUGUUUUCAGUCUGUAGAUCAGACACUAUUUCUGAUGGGCCUGCAAAUGCUUGGUAUGGGCCUGCAAAUGCUGAGACCCUUGUCUCUACCUUUCCUUUAGAAGUUGCUAUACUUCUACUGAAUGUAUUUAGAGAAAGAAAGAGCAUUUGUGUCAGGUAUGUUUUAAAUGUCAGUUCAUUUAUUUUAUGCUUUACUUUUUAAAGUGUGUUUUCAGCUUCAUAAUCUGGGACAUAAUCUUUUCUUUUGCAAGAAUAAGUUUUACUGCUUUUAUUAUUAAACUUGUCUAAGGGGAGCUGAGACAAAUCUGAGCUUCAAGGUUCUUGCAUUGGCAAGGAGGU